GUGGGGAAUAUUGGACAAUGGGCGAAAGCCUGAUCCAGCCAUGCCGCGUGUGUGAAGAAGGUCUUCGGAUUGUAAAGCACUUUAAGUUGGGAGGAAGGGCAUUAACCUAAUACGUUAGUGUUUUGACGUUACCGACAGAAUAAGCACCGGCUAACUUCGUGCCAGCAGCCGCGGUAAUACGAAGGGUGCAAGCGUUAAUCGGAAUUACUGGGCGUAAAGCGCGCGUAGGUGGUUCGUUAAGUUGGAUGUGAAAGCCCCGGGCUCAACCUGGGAACUGCAUCCAAAACUGGCGAGCUAGAGUACGGUAGAGGGUGGUGGAAUUUCCUGUGUAGCGGUGAAAUGCGUAGAUAUAGGAAGGAACACCAGUGGCGAAGGCGACCACCUGGAAUGAUACUGACACUGAGGUGCGAAAGCGUGGGGAGCAAACAGGAUUAGAAACCCUGGUAGUCC
rnacentral:rRNA from 1 species